rnacentral:rRNA from 1 species
AUUGAACGCUGGCGGCAGGCCUAACACAUGCAAGUCGAGCGGAUGAAGGGAGCUUGCUCCUGGAUUCAGCUGCGGACGGGUGAGUAAUGCCUAGGAAUCUGCCUGGUAGUUGGGGAUAACGUCCUGAAACGGGCGCUAAUACCGCAUACGUCCUGAGGGAGAAAGUGGGGGAUCUUCGGACCUCACGCUAUCAGAUGAGCCUAGGUCGGAUUAGCUAGUUGGUGGGGUAAAGGCCUAACAAGGCGACGAUCCGUAACUGGUCUGAGAGGAUGAUCAGUCACACUGGAACUGAGACACGGUACAGACUACUACGGGAGGCAGCAGUGGGGAAUAUUGGACAAUGGGCGAAAGCCUGAUACAGCCAUGCCGCGUGUGUGAAGAAGGUCUUCGGAUUGUAAAGCACUUUAAGUUGGGAGGAAGGGAAGUAAGUUAAUACCUUGCUGUUUUGACGUUACCAACAGAAUAAGCACCGGCUAACUUCGUG